rnacentral:rRNA from 1 species
UACGUAGGGGGCGAGCGUUGUCCGGAAUCAUUGGGCGUAAAGCGCGUGUAGGCGGCUCGUUAAGUCCGGUGUGAAACCUUGGGGCUCAACCCCAAGCCUGCACUGGAUACUGACGAGCUCGAGUCCGGAGGGAGAGCGGAAGUCCUAGUGUAGCGGUGAAAUGCGCAGAUAUUAGGAAGAACACCGGUGGCGAAGGCGGCUCACUGGCCCCGGUACUGACGCUGAGGCGCGAAAGCGUGGGGAGCAAACAGGG